rnacentral:rRNA from 1 species
GAUGAACGUUGGCGGCGUGCCUAAUACAUGCAAGUCGAACGAAGACUGUAGUAAUACUGCCUUAGUGGCGAACGGGUGAGUAACGCGUGGGUGACCUGCCCCGAAGUGUGGGAUAACAGUCCGAAAGGAUUGCUAAUACUGCAUAAUAUCCAAGAGAUUAGACGCUUUCGGAUUAAAGGAGUAAUUCGCUUCGGGAGGGGCCCGCGUCCCAUCAGCUAGUUGGUAAGGUAAUGGCUUACCAAGGCGAUGACGGGUAGGGGACCUGAGAGGGUGGCCCCCCAAAUGGAACUGAAACACGGUCCGUACACCUACGGGUGGCAGCAGUAGGGAAUAUUAGUAAUGGGCGAAAGCCUGAACUAGCAACGCCGCGUGUGCGAAGAAGGCCUUCGGGUCGUAAAGCACUUUUUGAGAGGAUGAGGAAGGACGGUACUCUCAGAAUAAGUCUCGGCUAACUACGUGCCAGCAGCCGCGGUAAAAGUCAACGUCG